UACGUAGGGUGCGAGCGUUAAUCGGAAUUACUGGGCGUAAAGCGCGCGUAGGUGGUUCAGUAAGUUGGAAGUGAAAUCCCCGGGCUCAACCUGGGAACUGCAUUUGUGACUGCAAGGCUAGAGUACGGCAGAGGGGGAUGGAAUUCCGCGUGUAGCAGUGAAAUGCGUAGAUAUGCGGAGGAACACCAAUGGCGAAGGCAAUCCCCUGGGCCUGUACUGACGCUCAUGCACGAAAGCGUGGGGAGCAAACAGG
rnacentral:rRNA from 1 species